UACGUAGGGUGCAAGCGUUGUCCGGAAUUAUUGGGCGUAAAGAGCGUGUAGGCGGCCCGAUUAGUCCGCUGUGAAAGUCCAGGGCUCAACCCUGGAAUGCCGGUGGAUACUGUCGGGCUAGAGUCCGGAAGGGGCGAGUGGAAUUCCUGGUGUAGCGGUGAAAUGCGCAGAUAUCAGGAGGAACACCGGUGGCGAAGGCGGCAUCCUGGACCGGCAUUGACGCUGAGGCGCGAAAGCCAGGGGAGCAAACGGG
rnacentral:rRNA from 1 species